UCAAUUACUACUUUUGACACGAUAAUCGUUUAUUGCGUCCCUGAGUUGAAUUUGGUGCUGCACUGGUGCUCGAGUUCAGCUGCAAAUUUCAAUUUUUUUCUUGACCUUGUAAAUGUAUAUUGUGAUGGCAGUGGUAAGACACUACGUGAUUUCUUGGAGGCCCUUCCCCGGGAAUGGAUUCCUGAAGAUCUGAUGGAAGCACUUGUCAAUAGGGGAGUCCAUCUAUCUCCCACAAUAUUUGAAGUGGGAGAUUGGGUUAAGUUCAAAAGAAGUGUCACGAUGCCAACAUAUGGAUGGCAAGGUGCAAAACAUAAGAGUGUUGGCUUUGUGCAAACUGUUCUGGACAAAGAUAAUCUGAUUGUAUCAUUUUGUUCCGGUGAGGCUCGUGUUUUGGCAAA